rnacentral:rRNA from 1 species
UACGUAGGGCGCAAGCGUUGUCCGGAAUUAUUGGGCGUAAAGAGCUCGUAGGCGGUUUGUCGCGUCUGCCGUGAAAGUCCGGGGGCUCAACUCCGGAUCUGCGGUGGGGUACGGGGCAGACUAGAGUGAUGUAGGGGGAGACUGGAAUUCCUGGUGUAGCGGGUGAAAAUGCGCAGAUAUCAGGAGGAACACCGAUGGCGAAGGC